CAUUCAAUUAAAAUGAUUGUCAGUCAAUUCAGGACAGAGAAAAGACAUUGCUUUUUCGCACAAUGUAUGAUCAGCAUACAGAAUUUGUGACCACCAUUUGUCGCAAUUGCUCCUGGCAUAGAUGGCUCGGAAAGGGGAUUACAGCCAAAAGUGCCAUGGAAACUAGAGGAAUAUUUCAAAAUUUACCAAACACCUUUCUAAUCAUUGCUGUAUCAAGAGUAUUACUAGUCCUUUCAAAACGGUCAAGUUAUCCUCCUCUGCCCUCUUUGAAAAAAUAGGGGGGAUCUGAUAUGGAGCAGUGGCAAGGCUAUUUUUUAUUUUACAAGAAGAGCCUUUGCCCAUCUUAUUGUUAAGGGUAAGACCUGCCCAUUCCACCCAAUUAUUUAAAUUCCUCUCCUGAAACUAUCCUUCCCACUUUUACAGGGGUCCUAUGAAAGUAAUGGUGCUGGGAACAUUCAGCACAUCUUACAUUUUAAUCCUCUGAAAAAUGCACCGCACAGAACAUAUCGUUUCAGCUCAACGCCAAGUCAGACUGUCAUCCUAAGCACUCCUCUGAAUGUCUUUUCCAUUGAAAUGGUAGACACCUGAACUAGAGCUUUUGAAUGCAAUCAAUAAGACUGCUUUAGAGUAAGUACCCUGAGGAUUGCCAUAAUCUUUUCUCUAUAAUGAAAAACAGGAAAUAGGAAUCGAUUUUCUAUUUGUGGAAGCAUUACUGAAUACAAAAGAUAUCACUCUUCUACACUGAUCUAUUCUUUUUUACAAUUUAUUGGCCUCACAGGUUCCAGAAUUAAACUCUCCAACCCAACCAUGAAACAAAGAUUUAGUGAUCAGUCUGACAGGGGACAGAAUGAGACAGAACGAGCGCACUGAAUUUAUGGAGUCAGUCUGGAUUAAUGGAGUUUGUACAGCAUCAGGUCAACCACCGUGAGAUCAAGAUGCUGGACUAGAUGGGCCAUUGGUCUGAUCCAGAAGGCUUUUCAUUAACAUCUGCAGGCAGCCCUGUUCAGGGAAGUUUUUAAUGGUUUGCAAAGCCUGGCUACUUCAGGCCAUAAGACUGAGCCUGACCUCAGUGCAGUUCUCUCUUUAUCACUGCACAAUUUCCCCGUUGUUCUCAGAGCACGGAAGACAGAAUCAUACCAUGCUGCCAUACAGCUGCCACCUUACUCUGACAGUGACUUCAUGCAAGGUAUUUUUUCCAUUUGAGUAUUAAAUUUGAGUACAAAAAAUAUGGCUUCUGUAUCAGUUUUGAUGUAUAUGUGCAUGGCACAGGUUGCUUAAAAAUACAUG